rnacentral:rRNA from 1 species
GGCUCAGAGAGAAGCUGGCGGCGGGUCUAAUGCAUGCAAGUCGCACGCAGAGCGCUUGCGCUCUGAGUGGCGCACGGCUGAUUAGCACGUGGGAACGUACCCUCCGGUGGGGGAUAACGCCGCGAAAGCGACGCUAAUCCCGCAUACCUUCUGCGGAAGAAAGUGAGCAAUCGCGCCGGAGGCGCGGCCCGCGGCCCAUCAGGUAGUUGGUGAGGUAACGGCUCACCAAGCCGAUUACGGGUAGCUGGUCUGUGAGGACAACCAGCCAGACUGGGACUGAGAAACGGCCCAGACUCCUACGGGAGGCAGCAG